GAUGAACGCUAGCGGGAGGCUUAACACACGCAAGUCGGGGGGUAGGGAAGCAAUUCCUGAGACCGGCGGACGGGUGCGUAACGCGUAUGCAACCUGCCUUAUACAGGGGGAUAGCCCAUGGAAACGUGGAUUAACACCCCAUAGGAUUACGGGAUCGCAUGAUUUUGUGAUUAAAACUGAGGUGGUAUAAGAUGGGCAUGCGUCUGAUUAGGUAGUUGGUAGGGUAAUGGCCUACCAAGCCGACGAUCAGUAGGGGUUCUGAGAGGAUUACCCCCCACACUGGUACUGAGACACGGACCAGACUCCUACGGGAGGCAGCAGUGAGGAAUAUUGGUCAAUGGCCGGAAGGCUGAACCAGCCAUCCCGCGUGCAGGAUGACGGCCCUAUGGGUUGUAAACUGCUUUUGUACCUGAAGAAUAGGCCCAACGAGUUGGGAUUUGCCGGUAAGGUAUGAAUAAGCAUCGGCUAACUCCGUGCCAGCCGCCGCAGUAA
rnacentral:rRNA from 1 species